CUUAAGUUGCUGCAUCUGUGGGCUCUCCGAGGGUGCUGGUCUGUUGUUCCCAGUGUCUGGGCUGUUCUUGAAGGGCUGGAACUCCAGAAAGCUGAGAUAAGAGCCCUACCCUUUCCUUGUUGCAGUGAGCAUGACAGCAUGGAGAGGAAUGCUAGUACUCAAGAUGCUGUCAAGAUUUUCCUUUGUACAUAUCUGAUCGGAUCGUGCCAGGUUUGGCUCUGUGCCUUUUCAGGCGAGCUCCUCUCUGAUGAGGACA